rnacentral:antisense_RNA from 1 species
CAAAAAAAUGCAUGGCGGUUUUUUUAUCUGAAAGCUCGCAAGCUGAAAUGAUGAAGAAUGCCAUUUGUAUUGGAGCAGACGGUAUGUUAGAGUCAAUAUUAGAAUUACAGGAUGAGGAGAGAGAUAAAGAAGUAUCAUUGCUUUCAUUUAAUAAUUGACAGUAUUUAUCAAGUAGAUCAUGGGCAAAUUGUGUUUUAUUUAAGGAAAGUAAUACAAGCACAGCUCUAAGUAGAAAUAUAUCUUUUUCUGAUUUAUAACCUUUCUUGCUCCAUUCAAUAAGAAUGUUGGCAAAAAGUUCAGGAUUUUCAGUUAAAAUCACAUAAAGUUGAGCUUUGGAAAAAUUUUGAUGAACAAAAUAAUAAUUGGAAGCCCAUACAUGUAAUUUAUAUAUAUAAUCA